rnacentral:rRNA from 1 species
AGAGUUUGAUCCUGGCUCAGAAUGAACGCUGGCGGCGUGCUUAACACAUGCAAGUCGUACGCGAAAGGUAGCUUCGGUUACUGAGUAGAGUGGCGCACGGGUGAGUAACGCGUGAACGACCUACCCUUGAGAGGGGGACAACCCGCCGAAAGGCGGGCUAAUACCGCAUGAUGCCGUUCCAUUGAGGUGGAAUGGUUAAAGAUGGGGACCUUCGGGCCUAUCGCUUGAGGAGGGGUUCGCGUCCGAUUAGCUAGUAGGUGAGGUAACGGCUCACCUAGGCGACGAUCGGUAGCUGGUCUGAGAGGAUGAUCAGCCACAAUGGAACUGAGACACGGUCCAUACUCCUACGGGAGGCAGCAGUGGGGAAUUUUGCGCAAUGGGGGAAACCCUGACGCAGCAAUACCGCGUGAAGGAUAAAGGCCCUUGGGUCGUAAACUUCUGUCAGUGGGGAAGAAAUGCCCGUAAGGGAGAGGACGG